rnacentral:rRNA from 13 species
GAGGGCGCUUACCACUUUGUGAUUCAUGACUGGGGUGAAGUCGUAACAAGGUAACCGUAGGGGAACCUGCGGUUGGAUCACCUCCUUACCUUAAAGAA